AAGCAGUCUUUGAAUUCCUCUUGAUCCAUCCACAGCACAGUAUCCUAUGAGUUUGACAAGAUUUGGAUGCUCCACAAUACCAAGAAAUUGAACUUCAGCCAGCCACUGCUUAUGGCCCUAUGUGCAAAAUAAACCCGGUACACUCCGAGGAGAAGUCAGAGAGCACGAAGAAGCAGCUGUCCGACUACACCCUGAAAAGUCAGAUUCUUGCUGCUCUUUCAAUUGAGGUGCCGAUCUUUGACGCCUACUCCUGGAUUUGUCUUUGAAGUAGUAGAAGCACUUCAUUGUCUAUAUGAUUUUCUGGGAAUUUGAUGAGCCUUUGUAAUUGAUCUCCAAGAAGAAAUGAAAUGCAAAAAACUCAGUUGUUUCGAGUCUCAAGAGUAGAGAGGAAAACAAAACUUAUAAAGAGGAGAAAACACAAGAAAGACGUCACGAAGAAUCUCAAUGUCGGAAGGAGUAAACAGAUCAAAGAACUCCAAAUAGGGAACAGGGAAAACAACAGGAGCAGCGUGAAGAAGAAGUAGAAAAUGGGGGAAACAGAUGAGAAAAAUGAAGACAGUUAUGGAGAAAAAAGACUUGUUUGGUGUACUUCUCCAAAAAAAAAAAGAAGAAUAGACAAAAAAGGCGGCUAUAUCUGAUUGUUUCCUUGUUCUCUAUUCGAGACAGUCCAGCUAGACAAGAAUUUGGCAAACACAAGUUUGAAAUUGAAAACAAAAUUUGUGGAGCAUUCACUUUUGACUUGUGUUUCUUCUUCUUCUUCUUCUUCUUCGUCUUCAGGAGAUUGGAGAGAGCUUGAUGGGAGAUAAAAGGAAAAUAGAAAGACUAAUCUGGGUUUGCCUUUUAAAGUUGUAGCAAAAUACAGAGAGACCAAAUUUAUGGGUUUUCUUGUU